GCUCAUAUAUCUAAUAAUUAAGAGCUGGGUUCUUACCUCAGUAAUGUGGUUGCCACUGUGGGUU
rnacentral:tRNA from 3 species